ACUGAGGGGGGCUGCUCCUAGUACGAGAGGACCGGAGUGGACGCAUCACUGGUGUUCGGGUUGUCAUGCCAAUGGCACUGCCCGGUAGCUAAAUGCGGAAGAGAUAAGUGCUGAAAGCAUCUAAGCAUGAAACUUGCCCCGAGAUGAGUUCUCCCUGACCCUUUAAGGGUCCUGAAGGAACGUUGAAGACGACGACGUUGAUAGGCCGGGUGUGUAAGCGCAGCGAUGCGUUGAGCUAACCGGUACUAAUGAACC
rnacentral:rRNA from 1 species